rnacentral:rRNA from 1 species
AGCGAACGCUGGCGGCAGGCUUAACACAUGCAAGUCGAGCGCCCCGCAAGGGGAGCGGCAGACGGGUGAGUAACACGUGGGAACGUGCCCUUUGGUCCGGAACAACCCAGGGAAACUUGGGCUAAUACCGGAUACGUCCGUAAGGAGAAAGAUUUAUCGCCAAAGGAUCGGCCCGCGUAUGAUUAGCUAGUUGGUGGGGUAACGGCCCACCAGGGCUACGAUCAGUAGCUGGUCUUAGAGGAUGAUCAGCCACAUUGGGAAUGAGACACGGCCCAAAAUCCUACGGGAGGCAGCAGUGGGGAAUAUUGGACAAUGGGGGCAACCCUGAUCCAGCCAUGCCGCGUGAGUGAUGAAGGCCUUAGGGUUGUAAAGCUCUUUUAGCGGGGAAGAUAAUGACGGUACCCGCAGAAAAAGCCCCGGCUAACUUCGUGCCAGCAGCCGCCGUAA